rnacentral:piRNA from 1 species
UGCCUUUGAUUGAAAACCGCUGCGACGA